UACGAAGGGGGCUAGCGUUGCUCGGAAUCACUGGGCGUAAAGCGCACGUAGGCGGAUUGCUAAGUCAGGGGUGAAAAUCCUGGAGCUCAACUCCAGAACUGCCUUUGAUACUGAAGAUCUUGAGACCGGGAGAGGUGAGUGGAAUUCCCAGUGUAGCGGUGAAAUGCGUAGAUAUUGGGAGGAACACCAGUGGCGAAGGCGGCUCACUGGACCGGUACUGACGCUGAUGCGCGAAAGCGUGGGGAGCAAACGGGG
rnacentral:rRNA from 1 species